rnacentral:rRNA from 1 species
UACCAGCACCCCGAGUGGUCGGGACGAUUAUUGGGCCUAAAGCAUCCGUAGCCGGUUCUGCAAGUCCCCCGUUAAAUCCAGCUGCUCAAUAGAUGGGCCGCGGAGGAUACUACAGAGCUAGGAGGCAGGAGAGGCAAGCGGUACUCAGUGGGUAGGGGUAAAAUCCGUUGAUCCAUUGAAGACCACCAGUGGCGAAGGCGGCUUGCCAGAAUGCGCUCGACGGUGAGGGAUGAAAGCUGGGGGAGCAAACCGG